rnacentral:misc_RNA from 1 species
GUAAUCUCGAGAUGUUGGAAGAGUUGGAUAUGAGCAACAAUCAGAUUAGGGUCCUCCCGGACUCGUUUGGGAUGCUUUCUCGCCUCCGUGUGCUUCGUGCAGAUCAGAAUCCUUUGGAAGUGCCGCCAAUGCAUAUUAUUGAAAAGGGUGCACAGGCCGUAGUGCAGUACAUGGCUGAGCUCGUGGCAAAGAGAGAUGUCAAGCCUCAACCGGUAAAGACGAAGAACACUUGGGCACAUAUAUGCUUCUUCUCAAGGCCUAAUAAACGGAAAUAUGAAUCUUGGACUGGAUGAUGUGAUAUCUCAAAACCUACCUUAGAAGGGAAUACAUUGUGUUUAAUUGAUUGAUAGAGGACAGUGCCGGUACUCUUUCGUAGAUUCAAAUACCUCUUGUAUCUGACAAAG